rnacentral:lncRNA from 1 species
GCGGACAGGGGGCGGGGCGGGAGCCCGGCGGGCGGCUGGGGGCUGGGCGGGAGUGGGGGGGGCGCCCACGCUCCGGGUGGUCCCCACCCCUCGCGGAGCGGCCAGCGUCCGGCCGGGAAGGUGGCGGGAGGCGGGGGGAGGGGGAGGGGGUGGUAGAAGGAGUCCUGGGGUCAGGAGCCCUGGGCUUACGAAAGGUCCCGCUGCCCGGCAUCCUCGCAGGGUAUUUGCUUCCUCUGACCUCAUCCUGAGCUACGUGUGUCUUCGAGUGUAGGGUCUCCGACAGCUUCAGAAUUCCAACGUCCUCAGCCUCACUUUGUUGGAAUUCUUGGCUUCCAGGGCUCCUCAGCUCCUUCGCCAGCUACUCCAACGCCACGCCCACGCGGUGCCCACAGAUUCUGCAAGCUCCCUCUCUGCCUACAGAGUUCUCCGCCUCCGAAGUCCAUCCUUGGUUCAGCCUCGUGAGCUCCAGCUAUCCUUCAAGGCUCCAUUUCUCUCUGGAGUCUUUCCUGAUAUCCCUCCACUUUGCCAUAGCCACGUGUUCACCCGCACCCCAAAAGGAAACACUCUUUUCUCUUUCAUACAGCUCUUUGUCCUCUAGGAUCAUCUUUUUUUUAAAGAAUUAUUUAUUUAUUUGAAAGUCAGAGUUACACAGAGAGAGAAGGAGAGGCAGAGAGAGCGAGGUCUCCCAUCCACUGGGUCACUCCCCAGUUGGCCACAAUGGCACAGCCAAUCCGAAGCCAGGAGCUUCUUCCAGGUCUCCCAUGUGGGUGCAGGCGCCCAAGCACUUGGACCAUCUUCUACUGUUUUCCCAGGCCCUAACAGAGAGCUGGAUCAGAAGUGGAGCAGCUAGACCUUGAACCAGUGCCCAUAUGGGAUGCCAGCACCACAGGCGGUGGAUUAACCCACUACGCCACAGUGCUGGCCCCUAGGAUAAUCUUUAACACUUUAACACUUUCUCUCUAGGCUGUGUGUUCCUUAAAGGGAUAGAGAUUUUGUCUAAUUCAUUUUCCACUCUCCAGAACAUAGCAUGGUACUCAGCACAAAGAAGGGUCUCUUCUCCUGUUAGUGAAGUGUUGGAGUCAUCAUCCAACAAAUAGUUUUAAAGAAACCAGAUUUUCUUUUCAUUUAUUUCUUUUCCUUUUUCAAUUUAUGUGAAAGGCAGAGAGAUAAAGAGAUAGGCAGACUGCAGACAGAAAGGAAUCUCCCACCACCUCCCCAAAUACCCUCAACAGCUGGGGAGCCAGGAAGUCUCCCUCAUGGGUGGCAGGGACUCAAGUCUUUGAGCCAUCACCUGCUGCAUCCCAGGGUAUGCAUUAGCAGGAAGCUGGACUAGGGAGCAGAGCUGGGACUCAAAUUCAGGCACUCCAGUACCUUAACUGCUUAGCCAAAUGCCUGCCCCAGCGGCAAGUAGAUUUGCCAAC